GACGAACGCUGGCGGCGUGCUUAACACAUGCAAGUCGAGCGGUAAGGCCCUUUCGGGGGUACACGAGCGGCGAACGGGUGAGUAACACGUGGGUGACCUGCCCUCAGCUCUGGGAUAAGCCCGGGAAACUGGGUCUAAUACCGGAUAUGACUUCAUGACGCAUGUUGUGGAGUGGAAAGCCUUGUGCGGCUGAGGAUGGGCCCGCGGCCUAUCAGCUUGUUGGUGGGGNGAUGGCCUACCAAGGCGACGACGGGUAGCCGGCCUGAGAGGGCGACCGGCCACACUGGGACUGAGAUACGGCCCAGACUCCUACGGGAGGCAGCAGUGGGGAAUCUUGCGCAAUGGGCGAAAGCCUGACGCAGCGACGCCGCGUGA
rnacentral:rRNA from 1 species